rnacentral:rRNA from 1 species
GAGUUUGAUCCUGGCUCAGAUUGAACGCUGGCGGCAGGCCUAACACAUGCAAGUCGAGCGUGAAAGCACUUCGGUGUGAGUAGAGCGGCGGACGGGUGAGUAAUGCUUGGGAAUCUGCCCAGUAGUGGGGGAUAACCUGUGGAAACGCAGGCUAAUACCGCAUACGUCCUACGGGAGAAAGCAGGGGAUCUUCGGACCUUGCGCUAUUGGAUGAGCCCAAGUCGGAUUAGCUUGUUGGUGGGGUAAUGGCCUACCAAGGCGACGAUCCGUAGCUGGUCUGAGAGGAUGAUCAGCCACACUGGGACUGAGACACGGCCCAGACUCCUACGGGAGGCAGCAGUGGGGAAUAUUGCACAAUGGGCGAAAGCCUGAUGCAGCCAUGCCGCGUGUGUGAAGAAGGCUCUAGGGUUGUAAAGCACUUUCAGUAGGGAGGAAAUGUUAACGAUUAAUACUCGUUAGCUUUGACGUUACCUACAGAAGAAGCACCGGCAAACUCCGUGCCAGCAGCCGCGGUAAUACGGAGGGUGCGAGCGUUAAUCGGAAUUACUGGGCGUAAAGCGCACGUAGGUGGUUUGAUAAGGUAGCUGUGAA